rnacentral:rRNA from 1 species
AUACCAUGUAAUAGGGACUCUCAUAAUUCUGUGUUUUGCGAGUCUUGUCAAUUAGGCAAACAUGUGCGUCUUCCCUUUAGUUCCUCUAGUUCUUGUAGCACUUAUCCCUUUGAAUUAAUACAUUGUGAUUUAUGGACCUCUCCCAUUGCAAGUGUUUCGGGUUUUAAAUACUACCUUGUUAUCCUAGAUGAUUUCACCCACUUUGUCUGGACUUUUCCUCUACGCAACAAAUCUGAGGUCCAUUCUCUUUUCCUUAAUUUUCAACGCUAUGUGUCUGUUCACUUCUUCCUCCCAAUUCGCUUUAUCCAAUGUGACAAUGGUCGCGAGUUUGAUAACAUUAAAAAUCGUACUUUCUUCUUACAACAUGGCAUCCUGCUUAGGUUCUCAUGUCCCUACACCUCCCCUCAAAAUGGUAAAGCAGAACGCUCUCUUCGCACCCUCAAUGAUAUAGUUCGCACUCUCCUCAUUCAAUCAUCUAUGCCUCCCAAGUUUUGGGCUGAAGCCCUACACAUGGCCACCUUCCUUCUAAAUAUUCGACCUUCUAAAACUAAACCCAACACUACU